AGCAGCCGCGGUAAUUCCAGCUCCAAUAGCGUAUAUUAAAGUUGUUGCAGUUAAAAAGCUCGUAGUUGAAUUUCGGGGUUAAUAAGUUGGUCGUGCCAAUGGUAUGUACUGGCUUUAUUGAUUCCUACCUCUUGAAGAACUGUGAUGCCAUUAAUUUGGUGUUGCAGGGAAUCAGGACUGUUACCUUGAAAAAAUUAGAGUGUUUAAAGCAGGCUUACGCUUGAAUACAUUAGCAUGGAAUAAUGAAAUAGGACGUUUGAACCUAUUUUGUUGGUUUCUAGGAUCGACGUAAUGAUUAAUAGGGAUAGUUGGGGGCAUUAGUAUUCAAUUGUCAGAGGUGAAAUUCUUGGAUUUAUUGAAGACUAACUACUGCGAAAGCAUUUGCCAAGGAUGUUUUCAUUAAUCAAGAACGAAAGUUAGGGGAUCGAAGACGAUCAGAUACCGUCGUAGUCUUAACCAUAAACUAUGCCGACUAGGGAUCGGAUGAUGUUA
rnacentral:rRNA from 1 species